GCUUGCAGUCGUGUGGAU
rnacentral:siRNA from 1 species